rnacentral:rRNA from 1 species
GCAAGUCGAACGGUAACAUGGGAGCUUGCUCCUGAUGACGAGUGGCGGACGGGUGAGUAACGCGUGGGAACAUGCCUAUCAGUUGGGGACAACCUGUGGAAACGCAGGCUAAUACCGAAUACGUUCUACGGAAUAAAGGUGGCCUCUACUUGUAAGCUAUCGCUGAUAGAUUGGCCCGCGUUGGAUUAGCUAGUUGGUGGGGUAAUGGCUCACCAAGGCAACGAUCCCUAGCUGGUUUGAGAGGAUGAUC